rnacentral:rRNA from 1 species
AUUGAACGCUGGCGGCAGGCCUAACACAUGCAAGUCGAAUGGUAACAGGAAACAGCUUGCUGUUUCGCUGACGAGUGGCGGACGGGUGAGUAAUGUCUGGGAAACUGCCUGAUGGAGGGGGAUAACUACUGGAAACGGUAGCUAAUACCGCAUAACGUCGCAAGACCAAAGAGGGGGACCUUCGGGCCUCUUGCCAUCAGAUGUGCCCAGAUGGGAUUAGCUAGUAGGUGGGGUAACGGCUCACCUAGGCGACGAUCCCUAGCUGGUCUGAGAGGAUGACCAGCCACACUGGAACUGAGACACGGUCCAGACUCCUACGGGAGGCAGCAGUGGGGAAUAUUGCACAAUGGGCGCAAGACUGAUGCAGCCAUGCCGCGUGUAUGAAGAAGGCCUUCGGGUUGUAAAGUACUUUCAGCGGGGAGGAAGGGAGUAAAGUUAAUACCUUUGCUCAUUGACGUUACCCGCAGAAGAAGCACCGGCUAACUCCGUG